UACGGAGGGGGCAAGCGUUGUUCGGAUUUACUGGGCGUAAAGGGCGCGUAGGCGGUCGGAGAAGUCACUUGUGAAAUCUUUGAGCUUAACUCAAAGCGGCCAAGUGAUACUCUUUAACUAGAGUGCAGAAGGGGCAACUGGAAUUCUUGGUGUAGCGGUGAAAUGCGUAGAUAUCAAGAGGAACACCUGAGGCGAAGGCGGGUUGCUGGGCUGACACUGACGCUGAGGCGCGAAAGCUAGGGGAGCAAACAGG
rnacentral:rRNA from 1 species